GCAAUACUCAGUGGCGGACGGGUGAGUAACACGUGGGAAUCUACCAUUAGAUGGGGAAUAACAGGCCGAAAGGACUGCUAAUGCCGCAUAUGUAUGUGCCUCGACAGGGGCGUAUAUGAAAGGAGUAAUCCGUCUGAUGAUGAGCCCGCGUCCGAUUAGCUAGUUGGUAAGGUAAAAGCUUACCAAGGCGACGAUCGGUAGGUGGUCUGAGAGGAUGAUCACCCACAAUGGGACUGAGACACGGCCCAUACUCCUACGGGAGGCAGCAGUGGGGAAUUUUACGCAAUGGGGGAAACCCUGACGUAGCGACACCGCGUGAGCGAAGAAGCCCUUUGGGGUGUAAAGCUCUGUCAACAGGAACGAAAAAAAUGACGGUACCUGUGGAGGAAGCAUCGGCUAACUACGUGCCAGCAGCCGCGGUAAGGCGUAGGAUGCAAGCGUUGUCCGGAUUUAUUGGGCGUAAAGAGUUCGUAGGCGGUUUGUUAAGUCUGAUGUUAAAGACCGGGGCUCAACCUCGGAAAUGCAUUGGAUACUGGCAGACUGGAGUGCAGUAGAGGCUAGUGGAAUUCCCAGUGUAGCGGUGAAAUGCGUAGAUAUUGGGAAGAACACCGGUGGCGUAGGCGACUAGCUGGGCUGUAACUGACGCUGAGGAACGAAAGCCAGGGGAGCAAAUGGGAUUAGAUACCCCAGUAGUCCUGGCCGUAAACGAUGGAUACUAGGCGUAGUGGGUAUCGACCCCUGCUGUGCCGCAGCUAACGCGAUAAGUAUCCCGCCUGAGUAGUACGGCCGCAAGGUUGA
rnacentral:rRNA from 1 species